UCCAUAGGUUAAUGAGGCGAACCGGGGGAACUGAAACAUCUAAGUACCCCGAGGAAAAGAAAUCAACCGAGAUUCCCCCAGUAGCGGCGAGCGAACGGGGAGGAGCCCAGAGCCUGAAUCAGCAUGUGUGUUAGUGGAAGCGUCUGGAAAGGCGCGCGAUACAGGGUGACAGCCCCGUACACAAAAGCGCAUGUGCUGUGAGCUCGAUGAGUAGGGCGGGACACGUGGUAUCCUGUCUGAAUAUGGGGGGACCAUCCUCCAAGGCUAAAUACUCCUGACUGACCGAUAGUGAACCAGUACCGUGAGGGAAAGGCGAAAAGAACCCCGGCGAGGGGAGUGAAAAAGAACCUGAAACCGUGUACGUACAAGCAGUGGGAGCCCCACCACUAAGCCAGUGGUGAACUCCACA
rnacentral:rRNA from 1 species